UACGUAGGUGGCAAGCGUUGUCCGGAUUUAUUGGGUUUAAAGGGUGCGUAGGCGGCUUUGUAAGUCAGUGGUGAAAUAUGGCAGCUCAACUGUCAGGGUGCCAUUGAUACUGCGGAGCUUGAGUACAGAUGAGGUAGGCGGAAUUGACGGUGUAGCGGUGAAAUGCUUAGAUAUCGUCAAGAACACCGAUAGCUAAGGCAGCUUACUGGGCUGUAACUGACGCUGAGGCACGAAAGUGUGGGGAUCAAACAGG
rnacentral:rRNA from 1 species